rnacentral:rRNA from 1 species
GAUGGACGCUGGCGGCGUGCCUAAUACAUGCAAGUCGAGCGAACGGACGAGAAGCUUGCUUUUCUGAUGUUAGCGGCGGACGGGUGAGUAACACGUGGAUAACCUACCUAUAAGACUGGGAUAACUUCGGGAAACCGGAGCUAAUACCGGAUAAUAUUUUGAACCGCAUGGUUCAAAAGUGAAAGACGGUCUUGCUGUCACUUAUAGAUGGAUCCGCUCUGCAUUAGCUAGUUGGUAAGGUAACGGCUUACCAAGGCAACGAUGCAUAGCCGACCUGAGAGGGUGAUCGGCCACACUAGAACUGAGACACGGUCCAGACUCCUACGGGAGGCAGCAGUAGGGAAUCUUCCGCAAUGGGCGAAAGCCUGACGGAGCAACGCCGCGUGAGUGAUGAAGGUCUUCGGAUCGUAAAACUCUGUUAUUAGGGAAGAACAUAUGUGUAAGUAACUGUGCACAUCUUGACGGUACCUAAUCAGAAAGCCACGGCUAACUACGUG